rnacentral:ncRNA from 1 species
AACCCUGUGUGAAAAAGAUAGUUCUUCCAAGAAGUAGACACUUCUUGAUUGGAAUUCCUAUUUUCACUUUGUGUU